CCUACUCCAACAAAGCCACACCUACUCCAACAAGGCCACACCUACUCCAACAAGGCCACACCUACUCCAACAAGGCCACACCUACUCCAACAAGGCCACACCUACUCCAACAAGGCCACACCUCUAAUCGUGCCACUCCCUUGGCAGAGCAUAUGCAAAGCAUCACAAGGGAGUAACCAAAACCUUUUUAAAGAGUGGAUUUAAGGUCCACUCCGUGAGACUGAAAAUAAGACCAAGAACUAAAGUAGCCUGGGAUGAGACGAGAUAGGUCAUGGGCCGAGGGGAAAACAGUAUUGUCACUCUGCUAAAGGAGCAGAGCAAUACAAUGGCUUAGUAUCAUUCUGCUCCCUCUAUAGAUCAGUGCUGCCCCCAGCCACCAUCACAGAAGCUUCUUCUGGCAGCAGAUGGGAAACAGCACAGCGCUCUACAACCCGACAGUGUGUAGAGAGUAAAGGCCUUUGAAGCACUCAGCCAUAAAUGGACGUCUCUAUCAACCCCCUCAGGCUCGGGGAUCUAUGCGGAGGAGUUGGAAGACUGUAAGAACCAGAAGCAGUGAAUAGCUCCAAGGGAACGGCGUCUUCCAGACACCCGGGGACUGAGGCACAUGUGAACGUGGAGACUAUGACAGCGGAUACAAGACCGCACCGCUUCCAAACAGGCAACGGUCUUAGCACUGGUGACCGGUAUGCAGGAUGUCAUCAGCUGCUAUCCUGGAGGUCCAGCAGCAACUUCUAGGAUGAGGAAAAUAGAUGUCUUACAGACAGUUUGAGCCAAGUUUCAAGCUUCCAGAGAGUGAAUCACAAUACGCCCAGAGGUUCCCAGGAGAACCCCAAGUUCUGAGCCACAGCACUGGGGAAACAGCUGCUGUGAGGGUUGAGAAAUGAGGCAGACCUGGGAAGCAGGAGGAUGAGGAUGCUGGAACAACAGUGCCACCUGUGUGGAGGGACUGCCCAUCACUCUGGGCUUCGGGUACACCGAGGAAGAUCAGGGGGAAACUGGAGUUUCAAACCUGGGCUCGCUGGCUGCAGGCUUUAGCCUGUACAGACACAAUUUUUCACACAGACCCCCUGGACCUGGCUCCCAAAAGCCAACCUUGGGAGAAACGCUCUCUCUCUGACUCAGGACUCUGCCGCUCCUCAGAGAGCAUCCCAGCAUGGUGGCAUCUACUCUUUUGUAUCCCUGGACAAAUACAGGCCUUCCUUGACUGAG